rnacentral:tRNA from 1 species
UCCCUAGUGGCUCAGAUGGUAAAGCAUCUGCCUGCAAUGUGGGAGACCUGGGUUCGAUCCCUGGGUUGGGAA